AGUCACUCAGAGUAUACUUUGUCCUCUUUAACACAAAGAGGCAGACACUCUUCUCAUCAGUUGGCAUGCUGUUAUAAAAAUGUUGGGUUGAGUCUUGAAAUACUCCAUUUAUAUGAUUGGCUACUAGCCAUUUAAUGCGGUAAGACAAGCCUGCCUGAACCCUCAAAGCAGCGCCUUUGAAAUCUCCCGACUCGGGAAAUGUCCAUGGACUUGGCGAUCUAGUACCCAGGACCCCAUCUUCCUAAGGGCCAUCUUUUCAUCUCCCGCAGGCUCUAAGAGGGAAUUGGCCGAAGAAAGUAAAAUUGCUUUCAUAGAAGCUGGCAUGCCCUGAGGUGAAACGAUGGAGGCGUUGGAAGCACCAAUAUGCUCAUCAUGAUUGCUUUUAAAAUGCUCUCCACUGGAAUUCGGCGAAUGUUUUCUGCGUAACAGUCUGUGCUGGGCCAUGUGCUAGACCACGAUGGGGCGGAGAUGCUGCACCUGCCAGUCGUGUGCUGGAGCCCAUCGUUUCACAUUCAGGAGCUCUGUGAAGUGGCUGGUAACUUGAAAUCAGUGGCGGUGAGCAUAUUUACACGGAUCAAAUCAGAAUAUGGUACAAAUCAGGCUGCCACACUCCAGAACAGAUUUAUGAAAUGAGCGCUGACUCAGCCCUCAAGAUUCUCAGUCUUGUCAAAGGUCCAACAGACUCAAUUCAACUCCAUCUAACAAGUACUAAAAUAAAGGACCCCCGAGAAGAGCUCAGAGAUGAGGUUGGACCAGGAAAGCAGAAGGAGGAACAUCAGUUGAGAAUGCGACAGAUUCACCGCCAUGGAUACUACUGGGCGUCUUUAAGUACCUAUACAUGCAGAGCAGCACCGUAUGAUGAGAAAGCCAGGGAGAGCAAUCACAGAAAUAGCACAAAUAAAUAAGUGCUCUGCGUCUUCUCCUUCCUCUCCAGCAUUUCUCCACUAGUGCUAGCUUCAAGAACGCUAAAGAAGGGCUGACAUUUAACAGAUGCUGAAGGUGUAGAAGGAAUUUACACACUCACUUAAAAACGUUUGCUAAAUACACAGUUCCUUUGAUUACCAACGGAUAAAAUGCAAGAUGAAAAUAUAUCAUUAUUUAAUGGGAACACUAAUGCCAUGGAUGUUCCUUACUUCUCUUUUCAAAAUCAGGGAUUAAAGAUCCCAGAAGACCAGCUUCCAAAAUGCCAAGAAACUAAUAAAUGACUCUGACAAGUGACUUUGUAAAAAUAACAUUGACCAUAAACUUAAAAAAAAAAAAACAAUCCAGCCAUUUGGAACCUGUUAUAAAGGAACAUCUAUCUUGGACAAUGGAGAAAAGCCUAGAUAUAUUAUCCAUAGCAAUGAAAACUACUAGUUUAAGAGUAAUUAUAAAUGAAUGGUUCAACCUUCUUCCACACUAUUCCUGAUUUGCAAAUCGUGGGGGCACACCACGAGAUAAUGAACAGGUUUAACAGAGUGAGAACUUUAGUGCUAAACGCUUUGUUCAGAGGUAAACACAUUGAUUUUAUGGGUAAGAAAGAGUAGUGCUUCUUUUUGGGUUUGUUUGUUUGCCUCCCUAUUUUUAUUUCCAGGCAAUAAAAGACACCAAAUUAGAUUUUUUUACAAGUAAUAUUGCAUGGGUGUGAUAAUGACGUAUUGUAUUUACUGUAAUUUUUUAGUCCUGGUACGUAUUUACUCCAGUAAAAAUCAAAACACACAAUUUCUUCUGAAACAACGACUUACCUUCCAUAUAAUAUGCCUUCACAAUGUUUUUUUCAAUUCAAACUAAUGUUAGUGAAAAAGAAAUGUGGAUGAUUGUAACUAUCCAUUCGUUAACGCAAAAAGACAGGAGGGAUGUUGGUUUUAAGAAACAGGAAGAUCUGGCGAUGUGAGAGUGUUUUAGCUUCUAUCCAAUUACUCGUCAUUCCUGUUCCUACUACACUGGGUACCAACCAUAUUAUUCUCUUUCACACAAAGCUUUGUACCCUGGGGCUGGAAUAUGGCUGUGGGCAGUUCUAGGGCUGCAGCACUCCAGCUAAGCAACAGUGCACUUUCAACUCUCUCUGAAGGUAUCAGGUGGUGGGUUGUAGUAUUAGUAUGCACAGUAUAAAGUAAGAUCCUGAUUGGUCUGCGUUACAUCACACACUAUCCAUGGGUCAGUUACUGCAGCCAGGGGAAUGAAAUGUUGUUGAAUCACAUGGACGAUCCUAAAUUAGUGGUGCUGGUAGAAUGCUAUAAUUAGCAUCCAGAACUACAUGCAUUGAAUCAUAGGGGUGGAUCAGUACAUGGAUGACAAAAAAAGCACCAUUAGAAAAAGUAUGUAUCUGUUUCAGAUACGACUGUAUUAUGAUAACA
rnacentral:lncRNA from 9 species